GACGAGCGCUGGCGGCGUGCUUAACACAUGCAAGUCGAACGGAAAGGCCCUGCUUUUGUGGGGUGCUCGAGUGGCGAACGGGUGAGUAACACGUGAGUAACCUGCCCUUGACUUUGGGAUAACUUCAGGAAACUGGGGCUAAUACCGGAUAGGAGCUCCUGCUGCAUGGUGGGGGUUGGAAAGUUUCGGCGGUUGGGGAUGGACUCGCGGCUUAUCAGCUUGUUGGUGGGGUAGUGGCCUACCAAGGCUUUGACGGGUAGCCGGCCUGAGAGGGUGACCGGCCACAUUGGGACUGAGAUACGGCCCAGACUCCUACGGGAGGCAGCAGUGGGGAAUAUUGCACAAUGGGCGGAAGCCUGAUGCAGCAACGCCGCGUGCGGGAUGACGGCCUUCGGGUUGUAAACCGCUUUCGCCUGUGACGAAGCGUGAGUGACGGUAAUGGGUAAAGAAGCACCGGCUAACUACGUG
rnacentral:rRNA from 1 species